GUCCACGCCGUAAACGAUGGAUACUAGGUGCUGUGGGUAUUGACCCCUGCAGUGCCGACGCUAACGCAUUAAGUAUCCCGCCUGGGAAGUACGGCCGCAAGGCUAAAACUCAAAGGAAUUGACGGGGGCCCGCACAAGCGGUGGAGCAUGUGGUUUAAUUCGACGCAACGCGAAGAACCUUACCCAGGCUUGACAUUGAAGGAACCUGGUGGAAACACCGGGGUGCUCUUCGGAGCCCUGAAAACAGGUGCUGCAUGGCUGUCGU
rnacentral:rRNA from 1 species